rnacentral:rRNA from 1 species
AAUAGAUACCCGGGUAGUCCACGCCGUAAACGAUGUCGACUUGGAGGUUGUGCCCUUGAGGCGUGGCUUCCGGAGCUAACGCGUUAAGUCGACCGCCUGGGGAGUACGGCCGCAAGGUUAAAACUCAAAUGAAUUGACGGGGGCCCGCACAAGCGGUGGAGCAUGUGGUUUAAUUCGAUGCAACGCGAAGAACCUUACCUACUCUUGACAUCCAGAGAACUUGGCAGAGAUGCUUUGGUGCCUUCGGGAACUCUGAGACAGGUGCUGCAUGGCUGUCGUCAGCUCGUGUUGUGAAAUGUUGGGUUAAGUCCCGCAACGAGCGCAACCCUUAUCCUUUGUUGCCAGCGGUCCGGCCGGGAACUCAAAGGAGACUGCCAGUGAUAAACUGGAGGAAGGUGGGGAUGACGUCAAGUCAUCAUGGCCCUUACGGAGUAGGGCUACACACGUGCUACAAUGGCGCAUACAAAGAGAAGCGACCUCGCGAGAGCAAGCGGACCUCAUAAAGUGCGUCGUAGUCCGGA